rnacentral:rRNA from 1 species
CUACGGGUGGCUGCAGUGGGGAAUAUUGCACAAUGGGCGCAAGCCUGAUGCAGCCAUGCCGCGUGUAUGAAGAAGGCCUUCGGGUUGUAAAGUACUUUCAGCGGGGAGGAAGGGAGUAAAGUUAAUACCUUUGCUCAUUGACGUUACCCGCAGAAGAAGCACCGGCUAACUCCGUGCCAGCAGCCGCGGUAAUACGGAGGGUGCAAGCGUAAUCGGAAUUACUGGGCGUAAAGCGCACGCAGGCGGUUUGUUAAGUCAGAUGUGAAAUCCCCGGGCUCAACCUGGGAACUGCAUCUGAUACUGGCAAGCUUGAGUCUCGUAGAGGGGGGUAGAAUGCCAGGUGUAGCGGUGAGAUGCGUAGAGAUCUGGAGGAAUACCGGUGGCGAAGGCGGCCCCCUGGACGAAGACUGACGCUCAGGUGCGAAAGCGUGGGGAGCAAACAGGAUUAGAUACCCCAGUAGUC